GAGUUUGAUCCUGGCUCAGGAUGAACGCCGGCGGUGUGCCUAAUACAUGCAAGUCGUACGCACUGGCCCAACUGAUUGAUGGUGCUUGCACCUGAUUGACGAUGGAUCACCAGUGAGUGGCGGACGGGUGAGUAACACGUAGGUAACCUGCCCCGGAGCGGGGGAUAACAUUUGGAAACAGAUGCUAAUACCGCAUAACAACAAAAGCCGCAUGGUUUUUGUUUGAAAGAUGGCUUUGGCUAUCACUCUGGGAUGGACCUGCGGUGCAUUAGCUAGUUGGUAAGGUAACGGCUUACCAAGGCGAUGAUGCAUAGCCGAGUUGAGAGACUGAUCGGCCACAAUGGAACUGAGACACGGUCCAUACUCCUACGGGAGGCAGCAGUAGGGAAUCUUCCACAAUGGGCGCAAGCCUGAUGGAGCAACACCGCGUGAGUGAAGAAGGGUUUCGGCUCGUAAAGCUCUGUUGUUGGAGAAGAACGUGCGUGAGAGUAACUGUUCACGCAGUGACGGUAUCCAACCAGAAAGUCACGGCUAACUACGUGCCAGCAGCCGCGGUAAUACGUAGGUGGCAAGCGUUAUCCGGAUUUAUUGGGCGUAAAGCGAGCGCAGGCGGUUGCUUAGGUCUGAUGUGAAAGCCUUCGGCUUAACCGAAGAAGUGCAUCGGAAACCGGGCGACUUGAGUGCAGAAGAGGACAGUGGAACUCCAUGUGUAGCGGUGGAAUGCGUAGAUAUAUGGAAGAACACCAGUGGCGAAGGCGGCUGUCUGGUCUGCAACUGACGCUGAGGCUCGAAAGCAUGGGUAGCGAACAGGAUUAGAUACCCUGGUAGUCCAUGCCGUAAACGAUGAGUGCUAGGUGUUGGAGGGUUUCCGCCCUUCAGUGCCGGAGCUAACGC
rnacentral:rRNA from 1 species